rnacentral:tRNA from 1 species
CCGGGUGUAGCGCAGUUGGUAGCGCGCCAGUUUCGGGUACUGGAGGUCGCACGUUCAAAUCGUGUCACUCGGACCA